GAUUAUAUGCUUGUCUCAAAGCUUAAGCCAUGCAUGUGUAAGUACAAACUAAAAAAAAAGUGAAACCGCGAAUGGCUCAUUAAAUCAGCUAUUAUUUAUUGGGUGUACCACUAAUAUAAAAGUUACUUGGAUAACUGUGGUAAUUCUAGAGCUAAUACAUGCACAUAUAGACCCUCGAAGAAACCUUUAAAUACAUCAAGUAUGAUUUUUAGGUGCUUCAACAGGGCGCUUUUAUUAGUAUCAAAACCGGUAUUCUCGGGCUUCGGUCCGUAAAACCCUAGUAUGAUGACUCUGGAUAAUUUUGAGCUGAGCGCACAGUCUUUUGCACUGGCGCCGCUUCUUUCAAGUGUCUGCCUUAUCAGCUGUCGAUUGUAGAUUAUGUGCCUACAAUGGCUAUAACGGGUAACGGGGAAUCAGGGUUCGAUUCCGGAGAGGGAGCCUGAGAAACGGCUACCACAUCUAAGGAAGGCAGCAGGCACGCAAAUUACCCACUCCCAGCUUGGGGAGGUAGUGACGAAAAAUAACGAUGCGAGACUCAUCCGAGGCCUCGCAAUCGGAAUGAGUACACUUUAAAUCCUUUUGCGAGGAUCAAUUGGAGGGCAAGUCUGGUGCCAGCAGCCGCGGUAAUUCCAGCUCCAAUGGCAUAUAUUAAAGUUGUUGCGGUUAAAAUGCUCGUAGUUGGCUUUUUAACACUGUAGCUGAUGGUUGGCUGUAAAUCCUUUAAUUGGUAGGCUAAUCGAACAUGCUCAGUGAUUGCCGUGACAACUUAAAAAUUGUUUGGCUUUUUGGCUGGCUCGCACGGGAUGCUCUUUAUUGAGUGUCCCGAGUGGCUGGUAUGUUUACUUUGAAAAAAUUAGAGUGCUUAAAGCAGGCUAAAUUAAUGGCCUGAAUGCUGAUGCAUGGAAUAAUGAAAUAAGACCUCGGUCCCAUUUUCUUAUAUAUCGGUUUUCCUUUUUGGAACCCGAGGUAAUGAAUGAAGGGGAUAAACGGGGGCAUAUGUACUGCAACGCUAGAGGUGAAAUUCUUGGAUCGUUGUAUGACAAACAACUGCGAAAGCAUUUGCCAAGGAUGUUUUCAUUAAUCAAGAACGAAAGUUAGAGGUUCGAAGGCGAUCAGAUACCGCCCUAGUUCUAACCAUAAACGAUGCUAACCAGCGAUCUGCUGGAGUUAUGUACAUGACUCGGCGGGCAGCUUCCUGGGAAACCAAAGUCUUUGAGUUCCGGGGGAAGUAUGGUUGCAAAGUUGAAACUUAAAGGAAUUGACGGAAGGGCACCACCAGGAGUGGAGCCUGCGGCUUAAUUUGACUCAACACGGGAAACCUCACCAGGUCCGGACACUGGAAGGAUUGACAGAUUGAAAGCUCUUUCUUGAUUCAGUGGGUGGUGGUGCAUGGCCGUUCUUAGUUGGU
rnacentral:rRNA from 1 species